rnacentral:rRNA from 1 species
UACGUAGGGUGCGAGCGUUAAUCGGAAUUACUGGGCGUAAAGCGUGCGCAGGCGGCGCGUUAAGUCAGGUGUGAAAGCCCCGAGCUUAACUUGGGAAUUGCGCUUGUGACUGGCGUGCUAGAGUGUGGCAGAGGGAGGUGGAAUUCCACGUGUAGCAGUGAAAUGCGUAGAGAUGUGGAGGAACACCGAUGGCGAAGGCAGCCUCCUGGGCCAGCACUGACGCUCAUGCACGAAAGCGUGGGGAGCAAACAGG